rnacentral:lncRNA from 1 species
GUAACCUUUCAUUCGAGGUAGGGGUAGUUAAGAAAAUAAGUGUAAGUUUAAACUCUGAGAAGUUCAGGGCAUAUAAACGUUGAAAAUAUGCCGCACAGCCCUAUAUUUUGACCUUUGAAAAAAAUUGUGGUGCAUAUGAACUUUCAAUUCUAGGAUAAGAUUUUUUUCAAAACUUCAUAGUAAAAGUGGUACAGUUUUAGCCAUAAAAGGAGUUCCUAUGGGAAAU